rnacentral:rRNA from 1 species
GAUUUCUGGUAUUGCGCGCUCGGGCGACGGGAGUAAUCUCGCCUGUCCCGCUGUUCGUGCAUGCCAUCCUGCUAGUCAACCUUCCGUUCCCUUACCGGGCGGGGGGCGAUCUAGCUCAUUUACUUUGAAAAAAUUAGAGUGUUUAAAGCAGGUUUGCGCCUUGAAUACAUUAGCAUGGAAUAAUAAUUUAGGACUUCUGCCUAUUUUAUUGGUUUCUAGGUUUGGAGUAAUGAUUGAUAGGGAUAGUUGGGGGUGCUAGUAUUCAUCGGCCAGAGGUGAAAUUCUUGGAUUCGAUGAAGACUAACUAAUGCGAAAGCAUU